rnacentral:rRNA from 1 species
GAUGAACGCUGGCGGCGUGCCUAAUACAUGCAAGUCGAGCGAAUGGAUUAAGAGCUUGCCCUUAUGAAGUUAGCGGCGGACGGGUGAGUAACACGUGGGUAACCUGCCCAUAAGACUGGGAUAACUCCGGGAAACCGGGGCUAAUACCGGAUAAUAUUUUGAACUGCAUGGUUCAAAAUUGAAAGGCGGCUUCGGCUGUCACUUAUGGAUGGACCCGCGUCGCAUUAGCUAGUUGGUGAGGUAACGGCUCACCAAGGCAACGAUGCGUAGCCGACCUGAGAGGGUGAUCGGCCACACUGGGACUGAGACACGGCCCAGACUCCUACGGGAGGCAGCAGUAGGGAAUCUUCCACAAUGGACGAAAGUCUGACGGAGCAACGCCGCGUGAGUGAUGAAGGCUUUCGGGUCGUAAAACUCUGUUGUUAGGGAAGAACAAGUGCUAGUUGAAUAAGCUGGCACCUUGACGGUACCUAACCAGAAAGCCACGGCUAACUACGUGCCAGCCGCCGCAGUAA